UUCUUCCAUAAGUACAGUGUUGGUUUUUCUGGGUUUUCUGUUUCUCCAUAUAAAUUUUAAAAUAAUUUUGCUGAUAUCUACAAAAUAACUUGCUGGGAUGUUGACUGGAAAUGUAUAGAUCAACUUGGAAAGAACUGAUAUCUUGACAAUAUUAAGUCUUCCUAUCCAUGAACAUGGAAUAGCUCUUUAUAUAUUUAGUUCUUUCAUUUCAUUCAUUGAAAUUUUAUAGUUUUCCUCAUAUAGAUCUUAUACAUUUUUGUUAGAUUUAUACCUAAUUAUUUCAUUUUCUGGGGUGCUAAUGUAAAUGGUAUUUUGUUUUCAACUUCAAAUCCCACUUUUUCAUUGCUGAUAUAUAGGAAAAUGAUUGACUUUUGUAUAUUAACUUUGGGUUCUAUAAUCUUGCUGCAGUGGCCUAGUAGUUUUAGGAAGGGCUUUUUUGUUGUUGAUUCUUUCAGAUUUUCUAUAGACAAUCAUGUCAUAUACAAACAAAGACAACUUUAUUUCUUCCUUCUCAAUCUGUAUACCUUUUACUUCAUUUACUUGUCUUAUUGCAUUAGCUAGGACUCCCAGUAUUAUGUUGAAAAGGUAUGAAGAGAAAGGACAUCCUUUCCUUGUUUCUGAUCUUAGAAGGAAAGCUUUAAGUAUGUUAUUAACUGUAAGGUUUUUUUUAAGAAGUCCUUUAUCAUGUUCAGGCAGUUCCCCUCUAAUCCUAAUUUACUAAGAGUUUUUAUUAUGAGUGAUUAAAUUUUAUCAAAUGCUGUUUCUGCAUCUAUUGAUAGAUCAUGUGAUUUUUGUUAGCUUGUUGAUUGCUUUUUAAAUUGGUUUUCAUAUGCAGAAGCAGCUUAGCACAUCUGGGGGGAAUCUCACUUGGUCAUGGUAUAUAAUUCUUUUCAUAUAUUGUUGAAUUCAAUAUUUUGUUGAGGAUUUUCACAUCUAUGUUCAUGUGAGAUACUGGUCUAUAGUUUUCUUAUAAUAUUUUUGUUUGGUUUUGGUACUAAGGUAAUACUGGUCACAUAAAAUGAGUUAGGAAGAUUCUGUUGUAUUCUGUUGUCUAGGAGAGAUUAUACAGAAUUGGUAUAAUUUGUUCCUUAAAUGUUUGGUAGAAUUCAUCUGUUUUGGAAGGUUAUUAAUUAUUGAUUCAACUUCUUCAAUAAAUAGGCCCAUUAGGAUGGUUUACUUGUAUUUUUUGUUUGUUUGCUUUUAGUUUUUUUCCUGAAUAAAGGUAGUUGAGUUCAUGGAAAUUAAAUGUAUAUGGGCUGUGACUUCCCUGGAAAUAAAGUGUUGGUGCUUUAGUAUGGUUCAGAUGCUGGGGUGGCUCAGCUGGCUUAAGCCCAGUUACUGGACAGUACCUCCAGGAUUCUAUGAGGGUGAAGCUGAGCUCCUCCAAGGUCUCCUCCAUCUCCUGUGUGUUCUGGAUCAAUGAGAGAUUCUGCUCUUCCAGCUUUGUGAAGACAUCCAGGAGUUGCUGGGGCUCUGUGAAGUACAGCUCCAGUUCCUGCAACAAGUUGUGUGUGUGUGUGUGUGAGUGUGUGUGUGUGUGUGUGUGUAAGAGUCAGAGGGCACCAGCUCCCUCAGGCCUUGCCAGGAAUGGGGCCACCGACCUCACAAUCACUGUCUGGGUCCUCUUGCACAGGGAGGGCAGAGCUGGACCUGUGGAGAGAUGUGGGUUCAGGGCACCAGGUCCCAGCCUGUGAUAUACUCCACCCCAGGGGUAUAGAAUCCUGGCAUUUUCACAGCAUUUCUCCACCCUCAAACCCCUUGUCCUCCUUGUCCAUUGCACAGGUUGCCCAGGUGGUGGCAUCAGCUUCCUCUUGGUUCCUCAACUGUCACACAGCAACCAGGUAGAUAGUUUUAAAUUCAACUAACUCAUCGCACUCGUUAGAAUAAAGGUUGGCCUCCACCUGGGAGCUGUGGGGACCUUGCUGCCCUCCCUACCCUUGCCUCCCCCACUGCCCAAGGUUACUCUGCUCCUGCCGUGCAAGCUCCAUAGCUGUCUCUCCAGGAGCCAACCCUGCCUCAAGGCCUUGACACCUGCGGCUCCCACUGUGGAGACUGCCCCUCUCCAUUUGCCAUUCUUUUUUAAAAGCCACUUUCAGGUCCUCUUGUGCCCAUCUCUCUUAUUUAGGUAUGUUCUUGACUUGUCCUUGAUGGCCCUCAUAGCUGUCCUGUGACACAGUUGCCUUCAACCAACCCUGAGCACUCCGCAGGGGCAGAGACCAUCCUGGGCCAGCCCACAUAAGUGCGGGAAAGGCUGUGCAGGCUUAGAGCCCUCAGUGUGGGUCCCUGGAAGGCUCUGCUGGAUGGGGGCCCAAUCUUGCCUGACGUCUUUCAUCACCCAUUCUCACCUGCUGCAGCCUUGGCCCCCACCCAGGAUUACAGGUUCUGCUGGCUGAAGAAUGGCCAGAGGAAACUGGGCUGAGAUCUGAGAGACUCCAGGCCCUGACCUGCCUACAGUGGAGAGGUGAAAACUGCAGGGCCUUGUGGGAGAGGAUACUAAGCACUCUCUGGGCCUGCCCCUCACAUCGUGUAUACAUCAAUGCCCAUUUGGCAAAUGAGGAACAUGCAGCUCUGAGAUCUAGUCACCUGCCCAAGGUCACCUGCAGGACAUUGUUGGCACAUAAGGUAUGUUUUUAAGAAUCUGGACACAAUGUAGGCAACCUCUACUGGCAUGCUAUAUUAAAUACCUUUUAGAGCUGAAUAAAAUACUAGAAAAACUCAUAAAAAAGGGACACAGCCUGGGGUGUGGAUGGGACUUUAGUGUCCACUCAACCUCUUGGCUAAACACCUUGUGAAUCAUACCCUGCCCAACUGUAGACAGAGGCCUGGUUACAUGGCUAAUAGAUGGAGAGGCCCAGAUGCAAACCCAGGACAGAGUGAUCCCACACCUCUAUUCUCAGGGACUCUCCCAACACAAGACCUUACAGUGGUAGCUCUAGGGCUGAGGGGUAACCUAGGCAGAGGAAACAUGCAUGCAUGUCUAACCUCUUGGAGCCUCCAUCCAAAACAGAACUGGAAAUAGCAGCUCCUACUGGCAGGGGUUGCAGGGAUCAGAGUAAAUAAACCAUGGUAUGUGCCUGGCCCACAAAUGGUGGCUACUCGUCUCCAUAAGGCAUGACCAUGAUUCAUAAAGAUGAACAUGAGCUUGCAAAUUGGUAGCACUUGGGUCACCUUCCAGCUGGAGAGGUAUCAGUUUGGGAUAUGGGAGAUUGAGUGUAGAGAAUAUCUAAGGGGGGAAUGCCCAUGGGGGCCUGGAGCUCAGCAAACAGUGGGAGGCAGAACCAUGGGAGGGGUGGCCAAUCCACUGUAAAGAAGAGAGGACAGAGAACAGGGUACAUAAAGGGAUGAGCAGAAGAUACAGACCCUGAGAAGCACAGUGAAGAGGAGGUUCUUGAGCUCUUGGGCUACCCAUUCUCCCUAUCCUCACUACCACCACCCUCAUCCAAGCUGAUAAACCAUGAAGCUUCCAGAAGAAAGCAUAGAAGACUAUUUUAGUGACUUUGGGGUUGGCAGAGGUUUCUUAAGUAGGACACAAAAUGCACCAAUCAUAAAAGCAAAGAUUGGUAAACUGGACUCAAAAGAUAACAUUAAGAGUAAUAAGAGAGACUAGACGAAGAUACUUACACUAGACUUACUACAUAAAGGACUGGCAUGCAGAAUAUACAAAGUAAUAGAAAACCAGAAGAGAAAGGCCAGCAGUCCAAUAAAAAUGUACAAAAAUUGAACACAUACUUCACAAAGGAGGAUAUCUGAAUAGCUAUUGUAUUUCUCCUCAUGAAAAUGUCAUUAAAAUCAAGAUAUAUCACCUCACCCCUGUAUUAACUCUAUCUUUGAUUUUCUGUAUUCUGAUAUUUUGACAUCUGAGGCCAUGCUGACUGGAGGGAUGAACACCCUUGAAUGUGCUUUUCAAAUGCAAAGCAACCGAUCCAGUGCUCCUGUCCCAAGCUCUCACACUGGAGGCAUUAUUUCCCUGCUUCAUUACCAGGGCCAAGUACCAGACAAUCAGGGGUAGCCAGUGUGUCCCAGAGGCCUGAAUUUAUUCAAACCAGCCAAUUUAAAUCCACUUAACCUGCCUCACCUAUUCCCUCCUGCAGAAACCACAGUAACGGCUCCUAUUCACAGUU